UCGGCAAUAGUUUAGUGGCUAGAAUUUCCGCCUGUCAAUUUAGCUUAUACUCUGAGCAGCACGCGGGGGACCGGGGUUCAAUUCCCCGUUGCCGAG